rnacentral:rRNA from 1 species
AACGAACGCUGGCGGCGCGUCUUAAGCAUGCAAGUCGAACGGCAAGAUUGGUGCUUGCACCGAUCCUAGAGUGGCGGACUGGUGAGUAACGCGUGGGUGACGUACCCUAAGGAUGGGGAUAGCUGGUAGAAAUAUCAGAUAAUACCGAAUAUCCUUAUUGUUGCUAGAGGACAGUAAGGAAAGGAGCUUUGGCUUCGCCUAAGGAUCGGCCCGCGUACUUUUAGCUAGUUGGUGAGGUAACGGCUCACCAAGGCGACGAUAGUUAUCCGGCCUAAGAGGGUGAACGGACACAUUGGGACUGAGAUACGGCCCAGACUCCUACGGGAGGCAGCAGCUAAGAAUAUUCCGCAAUGGAGGAAACUCUGACGGAGCGACGCCGCGUGGAUGAUGAAGGCCGGAAGGUUGUAAAAUCCUUUUAAGCAAGAAGAAUAAACUUUACAGGGAAUGGUAGAGUGGUGACGGUAUUGCUUGAAUAAGCAACGGCUAAUUACGUGCCAGCCGCCGCGGUAAAAC